rnacentral:rRNA from 1 species
GUAGGUGGCAAGCGUUGUCCGGAAUUAUUGGGCGUAAAGCGCGCGCAGGUGGUUCUUUAAGUCUGAUGUGAAAGCCCCCGGCUCAACCGGGGAGGGUCAUUGGAAACUGGGGAACUUGAGUGCAGGAGGAGGAAGUGGAAUUCCACGUGUAGCGGUAGAAAUGCGUAGAUAUGUGGAGGACACCAGUGGCGAAGGCGUACUUUCUGGCCUGUAACUGACACUGAGGCGACGAAAGCGGUGGGGAGACAAACAGGGAUUAGAUACCCGUGGUAGUCCACGACCGUAAACGAUGAGUGCUAAGUGGUUGGGGGGUUUCCCGCCCCUCAGUGCUGCAGCUAACGCAUUAAGCACUCCGCCUGGGGAGUACGGUCGCAAGACUG